ACAGCAGUCGCCGCGGUAAAACGAAGGGUGCAAGCGUUAAUCGGAAUUACUGGGUGUAAAGCGUGCGUAGGCGGUUUGUUAAGUCUGCUGUGAAAUCCCCGGGCUCAACCUGGGAAUGGCAGUGGAUACUGGCAAGCUAGAGUGUGUCAGAGGAUGGUGGAAUUCCCGGUGUAGCGGUGAAAUGCGUAGAGAUCGGGAGGAACAUCAGUGGCGAAGGCGGCCAUCUGGGACAACACUGACGCUGAGGCACGAAAGCGUGGGGAGCAAACAGGAUUAGAUACCCGCGUAGUCCCUGUCUCUUAUAA
rnacentral:rRNA from 1 species